rnacentral:rRNA from 1 species
GACGAACGCUGGUGGCGUGCUUAACACAUGCAAGUCGAACGGAAAGGCCCUGCUUUUGUGGGGUGCUCGAGUGGCGAACGGGUGAGCAACACGUGAGUAACCUGCCCCUGACUUUGGGAUAACUUCAGGAAACUGGGGCUAAUACCGGAUAGGAGCUCCUGCUGCAUGGUGGGGGUUGGAAAGUUUCGGCGGUUGGGGAUGGACUCGCGGCUUAUCAGCUUGUUGGUGGGGUAGUGGCUUACCAAGGCUUUGACGGGUAGCCGGCCUGAGAGGGUGACCGGCCACAUUGGGACUGAGAUACGGCCCAGACUCCUACGGGAGGCAGCAGUGGGGAAUAUUGCACAAUGGGCGGAAGCCUGAUGCAGCAACGCCGCGUGCGGGAUGACGGCCUUCGGGUUGUAAACCGCUUUCGCCUGUGACGAAGCGUGAGUGACGGUAAUGGGUAAAGAAGCACCGGCUAACUACGUGCCAGCAGCCGCGGUGAUACGUAGGGUGCGAGCGUUGUCCGGAUUUAUUGGGCGUAAAGGGCUCGUAGGUGGUUGAUCGCGUCGGAAGUGUAAUCUUGGGGCUUAACCCUGAGCGUGCUUUCGAUACGGGUUGACUUGAGGAAGGUAGGGGAGAAUGGAAUUCCUGGUGGAGCGGUGGAAUGCGCAGAUAUCAGGAGGAACACCAGUGGCGAAGGCGGUUCUCUGGGCCUUUCCUGACGCUGAGGAGCGAAAGCGUGGGGAGCGAACAGGCUUAGAUACCCUGGUAGUCCACGCUGUAAACGGUGGGUACUAGGUGUGGGGUCCAUUCCACGGGUUCCGUGCCGUAGCUAACGCUUUAAGUACCCCGCCUGGGGAGUACGGCCGCAAGGCUAAAACUCAAAGGAAUUGACGGGGCCCCGCACAAGCGGCGGAGCAUGCGGAUUAAUUCGAUGCAACGCGUAGAACCUUACCUGGGUUUGACAUGGAUCGGGAGUGCUCAGAGAUGGGUGUGCCUCUUUUGGGGUCGGUUCACAGGUGGUGCAUGGCUGUCGUCAGCUCGUGUCGUGAGAUGUUGGGUUAAGCCCCGCAACGAGCGCAACCCUUGUUCACUGUUGCCAGCACGUUAUGGUGGGGACUCAGUGGAGACCGCCGGGGUCAACUCGGAGGAAGGUGGGGAUGACGUCAAGUCAUCAUGCCCCUUAUGUCCAGGGCUUCACGCAUGCUACAAUGGCUGGUACAGAGAGUGGCGAGCCUGUGAGGGUGAGCGAAUCUCGGAAAGCCGGUCUCAGUUCGGAUUGGGGUCUGCAACUCGACCUCAUGAAGUCGGAGUCGCUAGUAAUCGCAGAUCAGCAACGCUGCGGUGAAUACGUUCCCGGGGCUUGUACACACCGCCCGUCAAGUCAUGAAAGUUGGUAACACCCGAAGCCGGUGGCCUAACCGUUGUGGGGGAGCCGUCGAAGGUGGGACUGGUGAUUAGGACUAA